GACAGUCCAUAUAUUACUUAUAAUAUUUGAAUUGAGCCAAUCAGUGAACUAUUUCUUAUCAAAAAUCACAUAAAUAGCAUUUUCUUUGUUCAAAACUUACUGUUUUAUGGCAUUAUAGCGAUGCUGCUGAAGAUUAGCGGACUCAUCCCUAUGCUUGGUAUCACUGGGCCACAAACGCACGUUGUUGGCGGCAAAUUUUGGCGUGCAGCAGGAGAGUCUGAGGGGACAGUCGCAGCAACUCGACAGGAUAUAGCCCAUCCCCUGGAGACACAUCGAUAGAAUAACAACACCCACCCCAUAAAACACCCCAGAAGAAGACACAACGGGGAACAGCCGCGUAGUUGACUGUGAAAGUUGUUAACCUCUGCUGGAAUGCCUCGCAAGUCGGGAGCGAAGAAGGAGCGGGAACGCCGGCGGACAAAAGAGGACUCCCCCUCCAACGCGCAGGCCGCCCAACCCCCCCCUUCUGCCACCACCUCCCCCCUCCAUCUGGUCGAGAACUUUUACGCGGCUACCUGUUUAUGUGUGUUCAAUGCACACUUGGUAAAUUGCGGCAGACCAGGCUCCUUCCAGGAAGCCUUAUCUGAAGGGCUCAAGUUGAACGGCCUCCCCGACAUCCGCCUACCACUAAACCCCCCGUCUGCAGACAUCAUCAGGACCGUGCUCGGUGGCUCCCUCACUACCGUGCAGCCUCCGAAGCCCAAAGCCCAAGUCGGAGCUGGAAGUGGUGCCCCUUCUGACCCCUGACGAGGCCCCUUCUCCCGGCACUUCUUCCUGGGCCACUUCAUCAUCCCCAUCCCCUACCUCCUCCCCCCCCCCCACGUCCCUUCGGACCCCAAGGACAACGAGUCCGGUGUGGCGGACUGAACGGUCCCCCCUGGCCCCUCCUCUACUGCGCAUGCGCCUGCCCAUGUUUUCACACGCCAUUCUUAGGGGGGACCAGCUGGCCCACAUCUACCGCAGACUGAUUAGUUCCCCCACGAGACAUCUGUUUGCCCCUCUUAGUCUGUUAUUUGUAUUACUUAUUUAAUAAACAUGACUCGGGAA